rnacentral:rRNA from 1 species
GAUGAACGCUAGCGGCAGGCUUAAUACAUGCAAGUCGUGGGGCAGCGCAGUGUAGCAAUACAUGGGCGGCGACCGGCAAACGGGUGCGUAACACGUACGCAACCUUCCCGUUACUGGUGAAUAGCCCAGGGAAACUUGGAUUAAUACACCAUAUUAUAUUGACUAGGCAUCUGGUUGAUAUCAAAGCUUCGGCGGUAACGGAUGGGCGUGCGGUUGAUUAGGUAGUUGGCGGGGUAACGGCCCACCAAGCCUACGAUCAAUAGCUGAUGUGAGAGCAUGAUCAGCCACACGGGCACUGAGACACGGGCCCGACACCUACGGGUGGCUG